AUGAGAAGUUCUCGAUAGGUUUUGGGUGAAAGGGGGAAAUGUUUGUGAGAAGUUUUAGGUCUGAAUCUAUGAGAAAGAGGGAAAUGAGUAGACUGUGGCGCUUAAGUGAAAUUUUUGGCCUAAGUAUUAGCAGAAUAAAUGAUUUUACAUUUCCAUUUGCUAAUUGGGUAUCUUAGCGUUGUUUCAAUGCUAUAAUAUAGUAAUCAAAUAAUUUUUUUAUUUUUUAUAGUAGUUGCGAAAAAUGAGCUAUCCUCACGUGCUAUCAAUGUGGAUAUUUCUUGUAGUGAAUGGAUCAUCCUCCUGAUCAUCCCCAUCAUUAACUAGCAUGAUUUGAAAAAGGACUAGUUUGGAAACAUGCCUUUGUGUGAAGAUUUCAUCACAGUAUAGACCUUUUGCUUGUCGCUCCGUCACUCAACGCUUGUCAAUUUCUUUAAAAAAUCGUUGUUGAGCAGCUUGUUUCACUUCUGUUUGUUGAAGCAACAUAGCUUCCUCGUUUUUUCCGAUUUGGCUCUCACCAUGACCUGUCAAAGGUGACCUAGUUAGUAGGAUUGAAUAUCGAGAUGGGGCGCAAAGUGUCCUCCAAAUGCUCGAGCUGUCUGUUAGUCCAGCGCAAAAUUACCACAACUGUUGAUAAAUAGUUUAAUCUUGUUUAUCUUCCCAAGCAUUCCUCGAAUUAAUUGCAGUUUCGUCAACAGUUCUCGUACGUCCCAAAUUAUAAAUGUUUAGGGUUUUGAAAAAUGAGAGAUGAAGACCGCGGCGGCGGUGAUAAUAACAA